rnacentral:snRNA from 1 species
GCUCUUCCUAUCAUUGUG